GGUCGCUGCCGCCUGAGGGGCGGCGAGGGCUCGUCCUUCCCGGCACGUCCCUUCCAGGGGUAUGGGACGUACAGACUGCUCUGGAAGAGUGGAGUUCUGGUGUAGGAAGAAGCAAGGAAUCUGUAGAGGUUUCUGUGGAAAGAAGGAAAGUUGCCUCUCUCGCUUGUUGUGAGGAAGAGUGUGGUGAAGAGACAAAAUGAAAAGGUGGAGUCUGGAAGUAAUGCCACCACCUGCUUUGUCAUCGCAAAGAAGAAUUAAUUUACGAAUUCUUAGAACACUGACUGAGGAGGAGGGUGCCCCACCCUGUCUAUACUGGAUAAAGAGAUAGAAUCAAUGCAUGCUGUGCACAAUGGAUUUUAACUCCACAAAAAACAUCUGCGUGAAGUCAGAGUUUAAAACUCUUAUUUAUGCAGAAGACUAUUUUGAGUGCUGUGAAUGGGAAAACAGUUCAAUGAAAAGGAAGUCUCACUGUCACAUGUGUAACUACUGUUGAUACCAUUUCAAAUAUAGCGCUGAGAAUAAAGAAUCCAAUCUGAGAUUGUUCUAUGUCUGUUUUAUCCUCUAGUACAAUUUGAAUCUUCAGAUAGUGAGUAAUUUGACAAGCUCUGUAAAUUGUAGUAUCUAGAGAUGGUGAAAUGAAUAGCAAGUGUCAGCCUUAAUUAUGAAUUUUCCUGCCUUUUUGAAGAUUUUUUUUUUUUGUGAUUUUUGUGUGAUCGCUGCUACUCUUACAGAUGUAAUGGAAACUAUAUACAUUAGAUAGGCAUAAGCAGUGAGUAAAAGGGGACUUACCAUAAUUUGUAAUUCUCUCAUUCAAGUUCUUUGAAGGCAUUUUUGUCAAAACAGUAGAAAUCUCAAGAUUGAUUGCAUCUGAACUGAUGUACUUUGUAUGUUGAUUACAAUCAACAGAGUUUGUGCGUCUCUGGAGGCGCAUGGAACCUGCUGAAAAUGAUUUAAUAUGAACCAUUUUUCUCAGCAAAUGUAUACUUGAGCUCUGUUGAGCUGUUUCUUUGUUUGAAGAAUGGCAUUGUUAGUGUUUUACCAUAUGGGGCAUGUUAUCUUCAGAGAAUGAAGUGCUUUUAGGAUU